GAUUUUAUAUUUUAAUGUUAAAAUAUUAGAUUGCAAUUCUAAAGAUAUAAAUUUUUAUUUAUUAAAAUUU
rnacentral:tRNA from 1 species